GGGCGACCCACAGAAAUAAAUAUUGCCCAAAUUUUGCAUUUUUCGAACUGUUUUGAAUUGAAACGUACUCUAGUUUAUAUUCAUUUACAAUAGCGAACCAGAAAACUGUUAGAUAUUUAGUUAAUAGUAUGUCUUAUUUUACAAAUAUAUAGCAGUCCAAAAUAUAAACAAAGCGUCGAAGGAUUUAUUUACAUUACGCGGACUUGACAUGCAUGCAUGGUCUUCAAAAGUUUGAAGUACUAUAGGCGAAGCCGAGUAUCUUUUAUAAGUCUGAUAAAACACGCACUGCGGAUGUAAAUUUUAUGUCUACAAUCUAGAUAAAGCAUGAGCGGCCGUGUUGUAUCAAAUGUACAAACUUGAGCCAAAGACAAUGUCUGGGACAACAAUGUCACAACAUGUACGCGAUACUUCGUAUGACUUGUGAUCAAACGUUUGAGAACAUUCGUAUUCUUCAACAAUUUUAAAUAUUCAAUGAAUGAUAUUUGGUGAGAAAAUUUAACUUAAAGUUUAUCUAAAUGAGUUUUUUAGUACUAUUUAAUACAUGAUCAGCAGUGUUUUAUCAGAUAUAAAAUACGAGGCGAAGCCGAAUAUCUUUACUCUUUAGGUCUGAUAAUAAAGAAGACAUCGGCACUGUAUUUUAAAUUGCUUCAAAAACGAUCGCUCUAUACUACGGUCAUUGGCGAAGUAAUUUUCAAAAAAUACGUUGUGUAAGUCGAGAAAAUCAAAGUUAAAGUUUAUGUAAAUCAAGGGAAAUCUCUAUCACAUGUAAACGACACGCUUAUGUUAUGAUUUUUCUUUGUGUUUUCCUCACAAAUUUAAUACGUUUUUGAAAUGUAAAUAUCAGCCUGCGUAGAAGGCGGUAUUCGCGGGCUUUUUUCCUGACUACGAACGAACUUCAAACUUUUAUUUUCAAACUUUUAUUUUCAAACUUUUAUUUUCAAACUUUUAUUUUCAAACUUUUAUUUUCAAACUUUUAUUUUUAAACUUUUAUUUUCAAACUUUUAUUUUCAAACUUUUAUUUUCAAACUUUUAUUUUCAAACUUUUAUUUUCAAACUUUUAUUUUUAAACUUUUAUUUUUAAACUUUUAUUUUCAAACUUUUAUUUUCAAACUUUUAUUUUUAAACUUUUAUUUUCAAACUUUUAUUUUCAAACUUUUAUUUUCAAACUUGAACAGGAAUAUAAAGUCUGGACAAGAGUAUUAGCGUAUAAAUAAAUAAAUAAAUAAGGGAGUACAUUUAUUAUGCUGAGGGGUGGGAGAGGGGGGUGAAGAUGUUAAGGGGGGCAUCGAAAUAUUCUCUGGCAAUCUGGCAUUAAACGGGGGGCUCGAUAUACUGACGGUGGGGGGGGGGGAGCUCUAAACUUUUCAAAGUUUUGGUCCAGCAGGGGUCUGGAGUGUUCACUCCCACAUAGUUAAUGGAAUAGAUGGUUUGAAAACUCCCCCUACUGUGAAAUUCAGGCAAAUAUAUAUAAAAUUCAAGUUAAAAUUUUGACAUUUUCAGGUAAAAUUUGCGUAAUAAAGUAAUUAUUUUUGUGAAAUGAUAACCAUUUUUGUAAAAUACAGUCAAUUUGCAUGAA